rnacentral:rRNA from 1 species
UGCCUACGGGAGGCAGCAGUGAGGAAUAUUGGUCAAUGGCCGGAAGGCUGAACCAGCCAAGUCGCGUGAGGGAAUAAGGCCCUAUGGGUCGUAAACCUCUUUUGUCAGGGAGCAAAGGCGUCCACGAGUGGACGAAAGGAGAGUACCUGAAGAAAAAGCAUCGGCUAACUACGUGCCAGCAGCCGCGGUAAUACGUAGGGAGCAAGCGUUAUCCGGAUUUAUUGGGUGUAAAGGGUGCGUAGACGGGAUUACAAGUUGGUUGUGAAACCCCUCAGCUCAACUGAGGAACUGCAACCAAAACUAUA